rnacentral:rRNA from 1 species
CAAUAGCGUAUAUUAAAGUUGUUGCAGUUAAAAAGCUCGUAGUUGAAUUUCGGGUCCCCGCGCUCGGCGCUUCAUUGUGCCGUCGUGGUGUCCCUCCUCGCCGCAAGGCGUCCUUUACUGUGAAAAAAUUAGAGUGUUCAAAGCAGGCAAUCGCUUGAAUACAUUAGCAUGGAAUAAUAAGAUAGGAUCUUGUCUAUUUUGUUGGUUGCGGACAACGAUAAUGAUUAAUAGGGAUAGUUGGGGGUGUCCGUAUUGAGCUGUCAGAGGUGAAAUUCUUGGAUUUGCUCAAGACGAACUACUGCGAAAGCAUUCACCAAGGAUGUUUUCAUUAA